CCUCGCCGGCGCGCGCGUGCA
rnacentral:miRNA from 1 species